rnacentral:rRNA from 1 species
UACGUAGGGUGCGAGCGUUAAUCGGAAUUACUGGGCGUAAAGCGUGCGUAGGCGGUUCGUUAAGUGCGUCGUGAAAGCCCCGGGCUCAACCUGGGAAUGGCGAUGGAAACUGGCGGGCUGGAGUAUGGCAGAGGGGGGUGGAAUUCCGCGUGUAGCAGUGAAAUGCGUAGAGAUGCGGAGGAACACCGAUGGCGAAGGCAAUCCCCUGGACCUGUACUGACGCUCAUGCACGAAAGCGUGGGGAGCAAACAGG